rnacentral:misc_RNA from 1 species
UUUAACUCUUGGGAUAUUUAUUCAUGCAAUGCAUAUUCUAAUGUUUUACAAAAUAAUUUGCAUAGCGAGUAGCAAUGGGCCAUGCUGUUAUGCUAUGGCCACAAUGUUUUCAUUUUCGUCCCUCCUGGCCAUUGCUAUGAUUUAAAUCUAUGCUGAUUUGCUCGAUCCUCAUGUCGUCUUUGGUUUGGUUUCUUUAGGAGGACAUUCAGUGUACUGCAGAGUUCUUUUGUAUUUGUUAGAAGUUUUUAUUUUGUUUGUUUCUUUUUUCUAUCCAGUCCUUCUUGUACUGAGGGUUUCCUCGAUAAAAUUUCUUCCCACACAAGAAGACGAAUUAGAGGAAGUACAAUGACUUUGUAGAUUUCCAGCUGAUACUAAAUUGUUCUGAAGAAAAAACUACUUCAUUGUCUUUAUUUUAGCUGUAGAAUAUAUGAACUUGUGUAAGUACUAAGUAGUUGGCAUGAAGAGCCAUAUUUAUGUAUCUAUACUGAAAACCAUUGUGUAAUGUCCCUGCAUAAGAAACAUAUAUAUCUACUUGUGUUAGUAACAUGAAUGUAUAUUUGGUAAUCAUGAAAUUGAUGCCCUUUACUUUAGCAUGUUGCACGCUGACAAGUUUAUGCAUUUGGGUUACUGUGCCAUUCAAUUUUUAUCAUUUUGUGCAUGCUUUAGCUGUUUCUCGGAUUUUAAUGCUAGGUG